rnacentral:misc_RNA from 1 species
AAGAGGUGAUCGUCCUAACUGCUCGAGUGCAUCCUGGAGAGAGUAAUUCCUCGUGGGUGAUGGAGGGGGUACUCAACUUUCUACUGGGAGACUCGCCUGAGGCACGCUUGUUGCCUGAAGUUCAUAUUCAAAAUUGUGCCAAUGUUAAAUCCUGAGGGAGUCAUACAUGGAAAUCAGCGGUGUGGCUUGACAGAUGAAGACCUUAACCGUCGAUGGCGGGCCCCUGACCCCACCCUCCACCCAACCAUUUACCAUGCUAAGUCGCUGCUAGAAUACCUGACAACAGUAGUAAAGCUGAAGGUCCGUGUGUUCUGCGAUUUCCACGGUCACUCCCGCCAAAAGAACGUCUUCAUGUACGGCUGUUCUCGCCUCCAGUCCUGGUGGCCGGGUGACAGGGAUCUCCCUGAUAGUCCUGACUUUAUGCUUUUGCCACAACUCGCUCAAAACUGUAUGGGGACAUUUUCCCUGCGUGACUGCCACUUCUUAAUAGAGCGAGCGAGGGAGGCCACAGCUCGUGUGGCCGUGUGGAGGCAGUUUGACAUUCCCAUGUCUUACACAAUGGAGGCAUCUACCUGCGGCUGUGAUCAAGGUCCAUAUAAAAACAACCACCUUAGCACAAAACAAUUAUUAGAGUCAGGUGAAGGCUUCUGUCUUGCCCUCUCUUAUCUUGUCUCUGCCCCAGAAGCUGUCAACUCUCAGCUCAAACUCAAUUCAGACAGUGAUGAUGAUGAAGCUGACUGUGGUAGUGAUAGUGAUGAUGAGUAGGUGGUGGUCAGGUCAAGCCUAGUGCAGAGACCAGCUUGGAGAAGUGGUCUUCUCUGCUUUCUCCAGGAUUGACUGUCGCUUCAGAGUGGUAUCUGAGAGAAACCUUGGAGAUUUUUCUCACGAAGUUGUCUUCUGGAGCGGAGAUUUGGACGACGACCUCGACUCUGAUGAUGACCUUGACCUGGAUCUUUAUGG